AGCGAACGCUGGCGGCAGGCCUAACACAUGCAAGUCGAGCGGCCGUAGCAAUACGGCAGCGGCAGACGGGAGAGUAACACGUGGGAACGUGCCCUUUGGUUCGGAAUAACGCAGGGAAACUUGCGCUAAUACCGGAUAAGCCCUUACGGGGAAAGAUUUAUCGCCAACGGAGCGGCCCGCGUCUGAUUAGCUAGUUGGUGAGGUAACGGCUCACCAAGGCGACGAUCAGUAGCGGUCUGAGAGGAUGAUCAGCCUCACUGGGACUGAGACACGGCCCAGACUCCUACGGGAGGCAGCAGUGGGAAUAUUGGACAAUGGGCGCAAGCCUGAUCCAGCCAUGCCGCGUGGAUGAUGAAGGCCUUA
rnacentral:rRNA from 1 species